UAUUCGGGGAGCUUGCUUUGGAGCAGGCUGAGAGGAAGCUUGUCAGCUUCGACCCGUAAUACCUGAUUUGGAUAAUGCCAACGCAGGGAAAAU
rnacentral:ncRNA from 1 species